CUUCGAGGUCUAUGAAGAAAAUCACAUAGUUGGAAAAAAGGAUGGAUAUCCUGAUAGGCAAAUAAUGAAAAUGAGUUGGAACUCACAGAUACACUGAGAAAGGACUCAUGAAUGCUGAGAGAUCUACUGAUCACACUUUGACCACAGCUAGAAUACUGGAUACUUGAAAUUAUACUUGAAAUCAGAAAGAACUAGAUUCAAAUUCUGCCUCUGAAAAUUUCCUAGUUAUAUCAUCACAAAAAAAAAAUAUCAAGACAGGCAUAUUUAGAGCAAACAUCAGAGGAGAGGAACAUUCCAAAUGAUGGCUGGACAAUGGUGAUAAAUACAGUCUCUCUCAGUUUCACAGAGAUAUAAAUUCUGUCAAAGAAAAUUCAAAAGGAGUCUCUCAAGAGCCAGUAAGAGUUAACUCCAACAUGACCCUGAUGCUGCCCUAAAAACCAAGUCAACUCCAAACAAGCAGAGUAUCCUCAACUUUGUAAUGGACCCAAACUUCCAAGUCAAACCAGCGUUGGAAGAGUGACGGCUUGGAAACAAGUUGGA
rnacentral:lncRNA from 1 species